rnacentral:rRNA from 1 species
AGCUACAGGCUUAACACAUGCAAGUCGAGGGGAAACGAUAUUGGAAGCUUGCUUCCGAUAGGCGUCGACCGGCGCACGGGUGAGUAACGCGUAUCCAACCUGCCCAUCACUUGGGGAUAACCUUGCGAAAGUAAGACUAAUACCCAAUGACGUCUCUAGAAGACAUCUGAAAGAGAUUAAAGAUUCAUCGGUGAUGGAUGGGGAUGCGUCUGAUUAGCUUGUUGGCGGGGUAACGGCCCACCAAGGCAACGAUCAGUAGGGGUUCUGAGAGGAAGGUCCCCCACAUUGGAACUGAGACACGGUCCAAACUCCUACGGGAGGCAGCAGUGAGGAAUAUUGGUCAAUGGACGAGAGUCUGAACCAGCCAAGUAGCGUGCAGGAAGACGGCCCUAUGGGUUGUAAACUGCUUUUAUAAGGGAAUAAAGUUAGUCUCGUGAGACUUUUUGCAUGUACCUUAUGAAUAAGGACCGGCUAAUUCCGUGCCAGCAGCCGCGGUAAUACGGAAGGUCCGGGCGUUAUCCGGAUUUAUUGGGUUUAAAGGGAGCGUAGGCCGGAGAUUAAGCGUGUUGUGAAAUGUAGACGCUCAACGUCUGCACUGCAGCGCGAACUGGUUUCCUUGAGUACGCACAAAGUGGGCGGAAUUCGUGGUGUAGCGGUGAAAUGCUUAAAUAUCACGAAGAACUCCGAUUGCGAAGGCAGCUCACUGGAGCGCAACUGACGCUGAAGCUCGAAAGUGCGGGUAUCGAACAGGAUUAGAUACCCUGGUAGUCCGCACGGUAAACGAUGGAUGCCCGCUGUUGGUCUGAAUAGGUCAGCGGCCAAGCGAAAGCAUUAAGCAUCCCACCUGGGGAGUACGCCGGCAACGGUGAAACUCAAAGGAAUUGACGGGGGCCCGCACAAGCGGAGGAACAUGUGGUUUAAUUCGAUGAUACGCGAGGAACCUUACCCGGGCUUGAAUUGCAGAGGAAGGAUUUGGAGACAAUGACGCCCUUCGGGGCCUCUGUGAAGGUGCUGCAUGGUUGUCGUCAGCUCGUGCCGUGAGGUGUCGGCUUAAGUGCCAUAACGAGCGCAACCCCUCUCCUUAGUUGCCAUCAGGUCAAGCUGGGCACUCUGGGGACACUGCCACCGUAAGGUGUGAGGAAGGUGGGGAUG